rnacentral:sRNA from 1 species
UAUUAGCCCCGAUUAAAGUGAAAAUCCUUUUUGUACGCUUUUUUUUGCGUGCAAAAAGAUUGCAACGGAAAGCGGGACAAAAU